rnacentral:rRNA from 1 species
GACGAACGCUGGCGGCGUGCUUAACACAUGCAAGUCGAACGAAGUGGCGAACGGGUGAGUAAUACGUGAGUAACCUGCCCUCCUUUUUGGGAUAAGCCUUUGAAACGGGGUCUAAUACCGAAUCCAGGGGGUUGGGCUCGCGGCCUAUCAGCUUGUUGGGGGGGUGAUGGGCUACCAAGGCGGUGACUGGUAGCCGGCCUGAGAGGGUGACCGGGCAAAGUGGAACUGGGCGACGGCCCAGACGCCGACGGGAGGCAGCAGUGGGGGAUAUUGCACAAAAGGCGAAAGCCUGAUGCAGGGACGUCGCAUGGAGGAUGUAGGCUUUCGGGUUGUAAACCGCUUGCACUAACGAACGGGUAGGUGGAGAAGAAGCGCCGGCUAACUACGUGCCAGCAGCCGCGGUAAUAC